CAGCAUUACAUCUUUCUGCCACAGGAACUGCUCCUUAAAAGUGCCACAAGCUGGCUGGGCUUUGAAGACUGAAUGGCAAUAGCAGAUCUUGUACCUGGAAGAUUUUAUACCUGAGCAAUUGCUGAAAAGAGACUGCCCUUCUACAUGUGAAAAGUUUUCAGAAAACUCUGAAAGGAUUUUUGGCUAAGCAAUCUGCUUUGUUUGGCACCAUCACAAACAGAAAUCACUGUUCUACUGCAAGAGAUGAGACUCAAACUUUUUUCUUCGAAAUACUUUGGACAAGAUGAGUGACUAUAACCUUCCACCAUCCCUGCUAGAAAUGUAUACAAACACUGCUUCUAAUUAUGUGACAGUAUUCUGCAUUUUGAUU